UAAUCGUAGAUCAGCAUGCUACGGUGAAUACGUUCCCGGGUCUUGUACACACCGCCCGUCACACCACGAGAGUUUGUAACACCCGAAGCCGGUGGAGUAACCAUUUAUGGAGCUAGCCGUCGAAGGUAGGACAAAUGAUUGGGGUGAAGUCGUAACAAGGUAGCCGUAUCGGAAGGUGCGGCUGGAUCACCUCCUUUCUAAGGA
rnacentral:rRNA from 1 species